GAUGAAGAACGUAGCGAAAUGCGAUAAGUAAUGUGAAUUGCAGAAUUCAGUGAAUCAUCGAAUCUUUGAACGCACAUUGCGCCCCUUGGUAUUCCGGGGGGCAUGCCUGUUCGAGCGUCAUUGCUGCCCUCAAGCACGGCUUGUGUGUUGGGCCCCGUCCUCCGAUCCCGGGGGACGGGCCCGAAAGGCAGCGGCGGCACCGCGUCCGGUCCUCGAGCGUAUGGGGCUUUGUCACCCGCUCUGUAGGCCCGGCCGGCGCUUGCCGAUCAACCCAAAUUUUUAUCCAGGUUGACCUCGGAUCAGGUAGGGAUACCCGCUGAACUUAAGCAUAUCAAUAAGCGGAGGA
rnacentral:misc_RNA from 1 species